rnacentral:lncRNA from 1 species
GAUUAGCUCAAGUCCAAUUAUGAUCCUCAUGAAAAUUUUUUUUCAUCAAUCAUACUGCUAUGGCCACAGACUCUUGAACUUAGUCUCUCAAAUCUCAUAGGACUACUCUCUAUCAAGGUCGAUGAUUCCAUCUAGAUGCGCAUCUUACUCCUGUAGUGGACUAACGUCGCCAACAUCCACUAUAAGGUCUCACUGAGGCUAUGUUUAUGUGUCAGUCAAACUUUAAUAGUCUCACUACGAGCAACCAUACCAU